CCCUUAGAUGUUCUGGGCCGCACGCGCGCUACACUGACGAAGUCAGCGAGCAUGUCCUACGCCGACAGGUGCGGGGAAUCUUGUCAAACUUCGUCGUGAUGGGGAUUGAUUAUUGAAAUUCUUGAUCAUCAACAAGGAAUUCCUAGUAAGCGCAAGUCAGCAGCUUGCGUUGAUUACGUCCCUGCCCUUUGUACACACCGCCCGUCGCUACUACCGAUUGAAUGGUUUAGUGAGAUCUUCGGAUUGGCGCCACUGCGGCUCAGCAAUGGGCUCGGUGGAUGCCGAAAAGUUGAUCAAACUUGAUCAUUUAGAGGAAGUAAAAGUCGUAACA
rnacentral:rRNA from 1 species